rnacentral:rRNA from 1 species
CCUACGGGUGGCAGCAGUGAGGAAUAUUGGUCAAUGGACGAGAGUCUGAACCAGCCAAGUAGCGUGAAGGAUGACUGCCCUAUGGGUUGUAAACUUCUUUUAUAAAGGAAUAAAACGAGGCACGUGUGCCUUUUUGCAUGUACUUUAUGAAUAAGGAUCGGCUAACUCCGUGCCAGCAGCCGCGGUAAUACGGAGGAUCCGAGCGUUAUCCGGAUUUAUUGGGUUUAAAGGGAGCGUAGAUGGGUUGUUAAGUCAGUUGUGAAAGUUUGCGGCUCAACCGUAAAAUUGCAAUUGAUACUGGCAGUCGUGAGUACAGUUGAGGUGGGCGGAAUUCGUGGUGUAGCGGUGAAAUGGUUAGAUAUCACGAAGAACCCCGAUUGCGAAGGCAGCUUACUAAACUGUGACUGACAUUGAUGCUCGAAAGUGUGGGUAUCAAACAGGAUUAGAUACCCGAGUAGUC